rnacentral:lncRNA from 1 species
CUUCAUGGUUAUUGGCAAUGUAAAUUAUUUCAUUUUUAUUAAAAAUUUUUUUUUAAUCUUUAUUUUUGAGAGAGAGAUCGAGUGUGAAUGUGGGAGGGGCAGAGAGAGGGAGACACAGAAUCUGAAGCAGGCUCCAGACUGAGCUGUCAGCUCAGAACCCAACACGGGGCGGGGGGUUGGGGGGGGGGGGCUCAGGAGCUGCGAGAUCAUGACCGGAGCCGAAGUCUGACGUUUAACCGACUGAGCCACCCAGUCGCCCCAAAAAUGUAAAGCUUCUAAAAGGAAAAAAACGAACCGAUGCAAUUAAACUAUCAAGUAUAUAGACCACAUUUACAGGGAGGUGGAUGUUCCAAAGAGAUAGACUGGUCUACUCAAUGGUCAGAACAGCUGAGGUGCUGAGCAUCUGUUGGAAAAAGCUGUGCCAAGAGACUAAAACCAUUCAUCACACUAUCCAAACCAGAAAUCCUGGAAUGAUUUGGCUCACCUAUGCUGUUUCAAUGCUUCUCUCUACAGUGGCAUAUUCAAAUGAUCUCAACAGAUUCACAGGACUUUCCAUUAGUGUCCACCUCAGCCAUGUGGAUGAUCCAUCAAUUCUAUUUUCUAAUGAUGUACAUGCAAUGACAUUCAUUUCUAUGAAAUGUCAUGUAUAA